rnacentral:rRNA from 1 species
GACAGAGGCCUCGAGCGUUAGGCGGAAUCACUGGGCUUAAAGCGUGUGUAGGCGGGCCCGUAAGUGUCUUGUGAAAUCCCACGGCUCAACCGUGGAACUGCUGGGCAUACUGCGGGUCUUGGGCCAACUAGGGGCAGCCGGAACAAGCGGUGGAGCGGUGAAAUGCGGUAGAUAUCGCUUGGAACGCCGAAGGUGAAAACGAGGCUGACAUGGGGUUCGCGC